rnacentral:rRNA from 1 species
GACGAACGCUGGCGGCGUGCUUAACACAUGCAAGUCGAACGGAAAGGCUCCAGCUUGCUGGAGUGCUCGAGUGGCGAACGGGUGAGUAACACGUGGGCAAUCUGCCCUGCACUCUGGGAUAAGCCUGGGAAACUGGGUCUAAUACCGGAUAGGACCUUUCUCCUCAUGGGGUUUGGUGGAAAGUUUUUCGGUGCAGGAUGAGCCCGCGGCCUAUCAGCUUGUUGGUGGGGUAAUGGCCUACCAAGGCGACGACAGGUAGCCGGCCUGAGAGGGUGAUCGGCCACAUUGGGACUGAGAUACGGCCCAGACUCCUACGGGAGGCAGCAGUGGGGAAUAUUGCACAAUGGGCGAAAGCCUGAUGCAGCGACGCCGCGUGAGGGAUGACGGCCUUCGGGUUGUAAACCUCUUUCAGUAGGGACGAAGCGCAAGUGACGGUACCUGCAGAAGAAGCACCGGCUAACUACGUG